GAUGAACGCUGGCGGCGUGCCUAAUACAUGCAAGUCGAGCGAACAGACGAGGAGCUUGCUCCUUUGACGUUUGCGGCGGACGGGUGAGUAACACGUAGGUAACCUACCUAUAAGACUGGGAUAACUUCGGGAAACCGGAGCUAAUACCGGAUAAUAUUUCGAACCGCAUGGUUCGAUAGUGAAAGAUGGCUUUGCUAUCACUUAUAGAUGGACCUGCGCCGUAUUAGCUAGUUGGUAAGGUAACGGCUACCAAGGCAACGAUACGUAGCCGACCUGAGAGGGUGAUCGGCCACACUGGAACUGAGACACGGUCCAGACUCCUACGGGAGGCAGCAGUAGGGAAUCUUCCGCAAUGGGCGAAAGCCUGACGGAGCAACGCCGCGUGAGUGAUGAAGGUCUUCGGAUCGUAAAACUCUGUUAUUAGGGAAGAACAAACGUGUAAGUAACUGUGCACGUCUUGACGGUACCUAAUCAGAAAGCCACGGCUAACUACGUG
rnacentral:rRNA from 1 species